rnacentral:tRNA from 1 species
GUCAAUAUGUCCGAGUGGUUAAAGAGACAGACUUGAAAUUUGAUGGGCUACGCCCACGCAGGUUCGAACCCUGCUGUUAACG